AUGUGCAAAUAUAAAGCAUGUGAGCGGGUAUGCCCGUUGUACGUGGAGCCAGGAAGGAGGCGGGGCAGCCAUCCGCUGGUUUCUCCUACCUGCCUCUGCAAACUACUCUGGUUACCCGGCCUCCACCGCAGGCCCUUGGCAGGGGCGGUGCGCUGGGUCUGCGCGGUGCUGGCAGCCGCAGAGUGGAGGGUGAACCCGAUGGCCUCUUCAGUCUAUUUAGCAGGCUCUGAGAUGUAUUGUUGCUCCGUUUGCCCCGCGCUGCUCGGCGCCUCAUCUCUCCGCAUCCAGACGCGCAGUUUCUCACCUCCAGAGAGCAGCAGAGAUCUCGGGCAGGCUGCUGCGGCUAAUGGUGGCAAUUAAUAACUUGUCAUAAUCCGGAGGAUGAAAGGGAAGGCGCCCCAUCAGCAGGCGGGUCAUGGCGCUGCUCGCAAGCAAAUGAGGUGCAGGUGUGGCCUCCACUACGCGCUGA
rnacentral:lncRNA from 1 species